AGCGAACGCUGGCGGCAGGCUUAACACAUGCAAGUCGAGCGGGCACUUUCGGGUGUCAGCGGCGGACGGGUGCGUAACGCGUGGGAACGUGCCCUCUGGUUCGGAAUAACUCAGGGAAACUUGAGCUAAUACCGGAUACGCCCUUUUGGGGAAAGGCUUGCUGCCGGAGGAUCGGCCCGCGUCUGAUUAGCUAGUUGGUGAGGUAACGGCUCACCAAGGCGACGAUCAGUAGCUGGUCUGAGAGGAUGAUCAGCCACACUGGGACUGAGACACGGCCCAGACUCCUACGGGAAGGAGCAGUGGGGAAUAUUGGACAAUGGGCGCAAGCCUGAUCCAGCCAUGCCGCGUGAGUGAUGAAUGCCUUAGGGUUGUAAAGCUCUUUUAUCCGGGACGAUAAUGACGGUACCGGAGGAAUAAGCCCCGGCUAACUUCGUG
rnacentral:rRNA from 1 species